AAAACAAAGAAAAUGAAAUUGUAACAAAGAAAUUUUAAAGUAUAUCUUUUAAUUCCUUAAACAAUUCUAUCACAAUAUAUAAAAAAAAGAAGGAAUGCCUUGUAAUAUUUUUUUCUUACAUCAUGAGCCACUUAUGUACGAGUUAUUUUUAAAAAUUAAUACAUUUCUAGGAUAAAUGGAAUCAGUGAAAUCCUGCGCAGUUAAAAAAAACAAUACAUCCCGUAUUACUGACAGGAGCUGUUGAAACUAAGGAGUCGCUACCCUCAACACCUGCUUGCUCAGUGUUAAAACAUAUCGAUUGUGUUCCCAAGUCAGUUCGUAAGCGAAAAUAUAGAAGUACUACAGAAAACACUGUCAGCAACAAACAUGAAGUCCUGUUGGAUAAAAAAAUUGAAUUGGUCUCGCUGCAGAUAGAACUUCUCAAAAAAGAGCAUGAAAUGAGAAAAAAAAGAAAUGCAGAGAAACAUGAAUUGGAGAUGACAAUUUUAAAAAGUAAAUGUCAGUGUGAAAAAAUUCACUGUGAAUAUAUACUUGUAUUAAAACGACUUACGUCACGGAUGAUGUCAUGCAGUUGUUCAUUCAUCAUCUUUUGUAAUUUAGUUUAUUAUCAGUGUAAACUUGCGUUUCUUAAAUAUUUUGAUAAAAAUAUGUAUUACUCAUUUGGUCAUAUGUAUCUAUAUGCUUUCAUAUGUUUUCAUGUUCAUUCAAAUAUUGUUAAAAAUAAAGAUAGUUUACUCUUA